CGGGGACCCCACAAACCCAGAGGCUUUGGCGCCCACUCCCCAGCGGUCAGUAACACAGCAUGGAGGAUCCGUCCAGUGCUCGGCCUUACCAGGGCCCGUGCGAGCCGUCCAUGCCAGACCCCCCUGAUGCCUAGAGUGAAUCCUCGGGUGGGCUCUUGUCUGGCAUCCUUUACCCGUUCAGGUGGUUGGCUCGGGCCCCGCGCGGUUU